rnacentral:rRNA from 1 species
AUUGAACGCUGGCGGCAGGCCUAACACAUGCAAGUCGAACGGUAACAGGAAGAAGCUUGCUUCUUUGCUGACGAGUGGCGGACGGGUGAGUAAUGUCUGGGAAACUGCCUGAUGGAGGGGGAUAACUACUGGAAACGGUAGCUAAUACCGCAUAACGUCGCAAGACCAAAAAGGGGGACCUUCGGGCCUCUUGCCAUCGGAUGUGCCCAGAUGGGAUUAGCUAGUAGGUGGGGUAACGGCUCACCUAGGCGACGAUCCCUAGCUGGUCUGAGAGGAUGACCAGCCACACUGGAACUGAGACACGGUCCAGACUCCUACGGGAGGCAGCAGUGGGGAAUAUUGCACAAUGGGCGCAAGCCUGAUGCAGCCAUGCCGCGUGUAUGAAGAAGGCCUU